ensembl:rRNA 5S_rRNA 5S ribosomal RNA
ACCAGCAGUCAUAUCACUCUGCAACUCACAACUGGCACCUCACUGAAGCUAAGCAGGUGUGAGCCUGGUCAGUACCUGAAUGGGAGACCUCCUGGGAAAAACUAAGGUUGCUGCUGGAA